UCCGCGAUAGCUCAAUGGUAGAGCAACCGGCUGUUAACCGGUAGGUUGUCAGUUCGAAUCUGACUCGCGGAG
rnacentral:tRNA from 1 species